rnacentral:rRNA from 1 species
GGUAAUCUCGACUGUCACUCCCAACCCCUGUGACAUACCUUAAUGUUGCCUCGGCGGAUCAGCCCGCGCCCGGUAAAACGGGACGGCCCGCCAGAGGAUCCAAACUCUUGCUGUUAUUGUAACUUCUGAGUAAAACAAACAAAUAAAUCAAAACUUUCAACAACGGAUCUCUUGGUUCUGGCAUCGAUGAAGAACGCAGCAAAAUGCGAUAAGUAAUGUGAAUUGCAGAAUUCAGUGAAUCAUCGAAUCUUUGAACGCACAUUGCGCCCGCCAGUAUUCUGGCGGGCAUGCCUGUUCGAGCGUCAUUUCAACCCUCAAGCCCCCGGGUUUGGUGUUGGGGAUCGGCAAGCCUUCUGGCGAGCCGCCCCCUAAAUCUAGUGGCGGUCUCACUGCAGCCUCCAUUGCGUAGUAGCUAACACCUCGCAACUGGAACGCGGUGCGGCCAUGCCGUUAAACCCCCAACUUCUGAAUGUUGACCUCGGAUCAGGUAGGAAUACCCGCUGAACUUAAGCAUAUCAAACGCGGAAGGAAAUUAUCACUUGUUUUUACUCACGCUGAUAAAACUUUAAAGUGUUCCCGGAAAACCCCGGCCCGCUACAAGUCGGCGCAGAAAUUAACAAACUGGUAUUUUUUGAAUUCUAGGUAAAAAAUAUCUAAACUUAACUUUUUAAAG